rnacentral:lncRNA from 1 species
UCAAGGCUUCUACUGUCAUCAUUUGGCUGAUUUAUCCCAGGCUUCAAGCUAGCACUAAUUCCAUAUCGUGGCACAUGAAAAGGUGAAACUGCUCUUGGUUUUUGAGAUUCUGAAGUAUGAAAAGGUGAAACUGCUCUUGAUUUUUGAGAUUCUGAAGUAUGAAAAGGUGAAACUGCUCUUGGUUUUUGAGAUUCUGAAGUAUUUCUUGUUACCCCACGUCUCAGUUGUUCCAAUUCUGCUUCCUUUUUCUCCAAUGUUUGUUUAAGAUUCGAU